AUUGAACGCUGGCGGCAGGCCUAACACAUGCAAGUCGAACGGUAGCACAGAGAGCUUGCUCUCGGGUGACGAGUGGCGGACGGGUGAGUAAUGUCUGGGAAACUGCCCGAUGGAGGGGGAUAACUACUGGAAACGGUAGCUAAUACCGCAUAACGUCUUCGGACCAAAGUGGGGGACCUUCGGGCCUCACACCAUCGGAUGUGCCCAGAUGGGAUUAGCUAGUAGGUGGGGUAAUGGCUCACCUAGGCGACGAUCCCUAGCUGGUCUGAGAGGAUGAACGGCCACGCUGAAACUGGGACACGGUCCAUGCUCCUACGGGAGGCAGCAGUGGGGAAUAUUGCACAAUGGGCGCAUGCCUGAUGCAGCCAUGCCGCGUGUAUGAAGAAGGCCUUCGGGUUGUAAAGUACUUGCAGCGGGGAGGAAGGCGAUGGGGUUAAUAACCAUAUCGAUUGACGUUACCCGCAGAAGAAGCACCGGCUAACUCCGUGCCAGCCGCCGCCGUAA
rnacentral:rRNA from 1 species